AAAUUCUCAACUGCUUUUGGGUUUCAAAAGUGAAGUUGGAUCUUGGAGCGUUUGCUGGACGGGGGUCCGGCUCCUCUCAAUAACAUCUUGGUAGAUCUCUCGGCAUCUUCGACGUGAUAACGUUUUCUUACGUUGUAGAUGUUGCUACUGCCACAUUUUAUAGUGGGCGACUUCAUUCAU
rnacentral:misc_RNA from 1 species